GCGCUCAUAGCUCAGCUGGAUAGAGCACUUGGCUACGAACUAAGGGGUCGGGAGUUCGAAUCUCUCUGA
rnacentral:tRNA from 19 species